GAGUUUGAUCAUGGCUCAGAUUGAACGCUGGCGGCAUGCCUUACACAUGCAAGUCGAACGGCAGCACGGGAGCUUGCUCCUGGUGGCGAGUGGCGAACGGGUGAGUAAUGCAUCGGAACGUAUCCUGGAGUGGGGGAUAACGUAGCGAAAGUUACGCUAAUACCGCAUAUUCUGUGAGCAGGAAAGCGGGGGACCUUCGGGCCUCGCGCUCUUGGAGCGGCCGAUGUCGGAUUAGCUAGUUGGUGAGGUAAAGGCUCACCAAGGCGACGAUCCGUAGCAGGUCUGAGAGGAUGAUCUGCCACACUGGAACUGAGACACGGUCCAGACUCCUACGGGAGGCAGCAGUGGGGAAUUUUGGACAAUGGGGGCAACCCUGAUCCAGCCAUGCCGCGUGAGUGAAGAAGGCCUUCGG
rnacentral:rRNA from 8 species